CCCGCCCAUGCUGAGUGCACCCUUUUAUAACCAGAGCUGACUUCUCGAUCCUGAUCUUCCUUGCUAUUGAUUCUCAAGAUAAUCAGGUCAUCAGAGCUCGCCUUGGUCUCCAUGGAGGCCUGCUCUGAUUCUCAUUUCCUGAGAUAACUUCCACAAAGAUGUCUCGCAGCCUCUCUCGUCAUACUUUCUGCUCCUCAGGACUGGGGAGGUCUUCUCUGAUUCCCUGUUCUAAAUCUCCCCAGCUUCCCUGCAAGCAACAAGAAGCUCCGCCACGCCCGCAGUGGGGCCCCCGCUGGAGGGCCCAGAGCACCAGGCACCCCUCACCUAUUUCCCGUGGCCUCAGCCCCUUUCCACACUACCCACCUCCACCCUGCAGUACCAGCCUCCGGCCCCAGCCCUACCUGGGCCCCAGUUUGUCCAGCUCCCCAUCUCUAUCCCAGAGCCAGUCCUUCAGGACAUGGAAGACCCCAGAAGAGCCGCCAGCUCGUUGACCAUCGACAAGCUGCUUUUGGAGGAAGAGGAUAGCGACGCCUAUGCGCUUAACCACACUCUCUCUGUGGAAGGCUUUUAGGCGUGGCUCCCACCUGAGUCCUGUUCCCUGAAACUGGGAUUUUAAAAUGAGCCUGGAAUUGAGCCCCAGGUUCAUGCUUGUUUGGAGUAGUCAUUUCAUGACUACACUUUCUACGCACAGCUAGAAUUGUAGACCUGUAAACCUUCCUUCCCUUCUUCCUUCCCCUCCCUCCCUCACUUCCUCCCUCUCCCCCAUCCUUCCAUUCUUCCCCUCCCUCCCUUCUUCCUUUCCAACCCCUUCCUUCCUUUUCCUCCCUCCCUUCCUUCCCUCCUUCCCUUCUCCCUUUCCAACCCCUUCCUUCCUUUUCCUCCCUCCCUUCCUUCCCUCCUUCCCUUCUCCCUUUCCUUCUUUACCUCCCUCCCUCCCUCGCUUCUUCUCUCUUUCUUACUUCUUUUUUCAAUUCUGUUCCAUUUUGGGAGGUAAUUAUAGGGAUUUUAGCAAUAACAUUUUAUGUCAAAUGUUGCCAAGUCUGUGGUCCAUGGGCUUUCAUUUCUGUCACAUUUCAUUUCUUGGAAAAGGCCUCCUUCCUCCAGUGCCUGCUGAACCAUCUUAGGGUCACUCACACCCUCUGUAAUUUUAAGAUGUAUGUGGUGGCCGGCGGGAAGACCAGCCCCGACAGCACCUCCUGAGAAAGUCAGCCAAGGGCCUACCCUGAUGCCAGAGUCCUUGAGCUGUCAGUUCCCACAGUUGCUCCUUUGUUUGCUCUUCUCAGCCUCGGCCAGAUUUACAGUCCAGGCAGCAAAAUCUCAAGGCCUGGGGCUCAGAGUAGUAAGGGGUGGGAAGUGGGUGGCAGGGAGAAAAGAACAUCAGGGUGGGUGGGGACAGGCCAGUGACGAAGAGAGGGACAGAGGAGGGAUGGGAACAGGCUGUGCAUCUUAGUUGGAGAGAGGGGUGUGGGAGGAAGCUUGAGUUUGAUGCAGGGAGGAGGAAGGCUGAGGAAUGACUUGGCUCCAGAUUACUUGGUUAUUAAGAAGAACAAUAAACUAAAGGAAAGCAUUGCUUGAAGAGAUGGUUUUGCUGCUCUCCUUGAGGAUACGUGCAAGGGAAGUUGGGCUGUUGUAAACAGGGUGAAGGGUGUGUUUGGUCGGCCAUUUCUGUCUCACCUCUAGGCCCUCUGCUGGUGCUGUGGAGGCCAAGACCCCAUUAAGCCUAAAGGUGAUGGGUCCUCGCCUAGGCUUAGUGCUACCAUGUGGGUUUUGUUUCUUUCCUUCCUUCCUUCCUUCCUUCCUUCCUUCCUUCCUUCCUUCCUUCCUUCCUUCCUUCCUUCUUUCCUUCCUUCCUUCCUUCCUUCCUUCCUCUCUCUUUCUUUCUUUUUUUUGGUUUUUUUUGGGACGGAGUCUCACUCCAUUGCCCAGGCUGGAGUACAAUGGUGCGAUCUUGGCUCACUGCACCUCUGUCUCCCAAGUUCAAGUGAUUCUCCUGCCUGAGCCUCCCGAGUAGCUGGGAUUACAGGUGCAUGCCACCAUGCCUGGCUAAUUUUUGUAUUUUUAGUAGAGACGGGGUUUCACCAUGUUGGCCAGGCUGGUCUCGAACUCCUGACCUUGUGAUCCGCCCGCCUCAGCCUCUCAGAGUGCUGGGAUCACAGGCGUGAGCCACCGCACCCAGCCUUUUACCAUGUGGGUUUCUUUAGUGUCUUAAAAGCGUCCAUAAGCCACCAUUCUGUGGAACCAAGGCCCCCUCCACGCAAACACCCUCCCUCCUGGGGACCUCUGGAGCCUCAGCCAGAAGUACCAUUAGGUUUAAUUUUAAUUUGUUUUGCUGGAGAAACAUCAGGUUUGUAGGAGACUGAGUUGUUAGCAGGUGUGCUUAGCUCUUGAUAGUGAACGUGUACCUUGGGAACUGGCUCACCCACCUGCUAAUAGCACCAUCGUCACUAUUAAGCAGACAUUUCAGUUGGUAGAAUCCAUGUAGAAGUCAUGGACUUUUCUGGGAAAUGACUUUUCUGGGAAAUGACAGUUUCUUUGACAUAUUUUC
rnacentral:lncRNA from 10 species